CACACACGUCAGCAGCCAUGCGUCUUGAAACCAAAUCCUCUAGAAGACAUCUGGUCCAUGCUGGUGUCGUUAUUACAAGGCUCCCCCGUAGUGCCAGUGGCAGAGAGCCCACGGACCUGCUCCGCAAUAGCCACUCUGUAGCCCGGGCUCCCUCUGCCACACUGAGCUCCCUAGGAAGCUGAUGGAUUUGCUUUCAGGAGAGCCUUAAGACAAAUCAUAACUAAAAACACUCCUCUGUAAACAUAAAUAAAACAAUGGAAAGCAAAGGGUGAAUCCUGCAAGUGCCAAUACUGAAGGGGUGUUAGUACCUGAAGCCUUCAUACCAUGGAGGCUUUUAUCACAGAUACAUGCACUGGGAUACUAGGAAAAGUGUCCAGGCUGCAGAGGCUGUGGAGCAGGGAAGGGGAGGUCUUCAGCUUACAUUCCUGGGUACAAUCGUCUGCAAACCUGCUUUCUUUUCCCAACCCAGCAAUAAAACAAGUGUAUACUUAAGCUGUUGAGUAGCUGCUAACUAGGAGUUGAGCGUUGGGCAUGUUGAGAGCAGCAUGUUUUCUCAAGACCUGAGGCCCAGGAUUGCAUAAUUCAGGUAUGUGCAAAUAGAUUUGCUAGAGUGGGUUCCAAGAAAAGGCUCUUCAUCUAAAACCCCCCUUGUUUUCUUUUCUGCCAGACCUUUAAAACACAAUUCCUUUCCCAACAAUAACAUGAAAGAAUGACAAAAGAUGCCACAAACCCCCACCUCUCCAAAGCCCUGCAGCAGAAGGGCUCAGGUGCAAAACUCAUGAGCAACCUUUGUUCUGGGGGCAUUUCCAGCCCAGUCACUAGGUCAGAGAGCACACACAAGUUUCAUUAAACAUCCAGGCUGUCCAGUGUUGCUUUAUUAUCACCUGAACCUUCCCACUGCUUCUCUAGCAAGACCUGAGGCACAUAAUCCUGACAGUGAAUUAAUAAGUUUAUCUUGGUUGAUUGACCCAGACUUUGGAGCCAUAGGAAAAAGAACAAGGGCUUAAAGUUCAGCAGAGCUCAGUGUCAAGCAUCACUCCUAAUGACACCCCAGAGCUCAGCAGAAGCAGUCUGACUUUCCUUACUCAACGUCCUGUCACCAGCAGCCUGUGCAAACCAUGCAAGUGCUGCAAUUAGUAUCAGAGAUAAACCAGAUCCAUUAGUAGAUGGGAAGGGAACUCAAUCUGUUUUACAAAUGGAAAUGAAGUAGCAGCCUCAAUUAUAGGAUUUUUAAAAACAUGCAAUUUAGCGAAAUGUUGAUUUCCUUUUCGUUUACUUCGUUCUUUGUCUUUUAGAUACUUCAGCUCAAGUAGCAGGCAGUAUAUUAACCAACCAGAUUCUGGCAAAGUAUUUAAUAAUCAAGCUCAAAUAAGUGCUCUUAGGAAAUAAUUUUAUUUACAGUUCAGCUGGGGAAGAAUAUUAAAGCUUGAGUAUUUGGGUAAAAUUAUUAUCCUACAGUAAUAUAUUGUGAAGGCAUUUGGGCUGUAGAUGUCUAGCACUAGUGAGUCAGAGCACAGUAUUUGACCCUUCAGAAAAUUCAUCAUCUAUUUAGGACAUAGGGCAGGAUUUGCCCUCCAGUUUCACUCAGCCAGGGUGGGCAGCCACUGCCAGCAACAGUUCUAGUACCUCUGUAACCCACCCUGUCCCCUAAGUCCCAGCAGGAAGGUUCCUGGCAGGCAACAGAAUCACUCCUAAGGUACCAGACUCCCUCCUCCAUACAGUUGCUUUACAUAUGGACACAUUUUACCAUUCUGCAGCAGGACUUGAGCCUGUAAACACUGCAUGAAGAUAUUUUAGCAUGCACAUGCCUGUAUAAUAAUUAUUUUUUUUAAUUGGUCCAGCCCACGUUACUGUUUAAAUAAUUGAAGGUGCUGAGCAUUAAACAUAUUUUGCCAUGCUUUCUCCAUGGCACCUUUCCCACUCCAAAAUGUUUGGAAUCUGAACAGAGACUAAGCAUUAACUAAUUAAAUUUCUCCAAACAAAGGUUAAUUAGUGUGUUUAUUUUGGAUUAUGUGUGUAUUGAAUUAUUAAACACUAUAUGGUACCAUAAAAAAAAAAAAAAAAAAAAAAAGGCAGGAUGAAGGGAGGAAACAUUCCUGAGCCCAAGGAACAGUUUCUCUGGCUGCCAUGCAGCUACAUUAACCGUUUAUUCACAACUUCAGCACUGCGCUUCCCCACCAACCAUCAUCAUCUGUGGGGAUUGAAGGCUAAAAGCACAAGCCUUCCCCAGUCCACAGGGGAGGUCCAGCAGCCCUGAACUGUGACUAUGGGAGAUUCAUGUCAUUUUAGGAUGAUGAAUAGCAUAGAUACAGGGUACCCAUAUUUGGCUCAGGAUAACAUUAUGCUGAACGCCUUAUCCAACACACACGCAUGCUCCUCUUGUGGGCCCAUUUGCUGUGCCAGACACAGCAGCUGCCAAGGACAGGAGGUCCCUCACCCGGCCCUUUGGACAGGAGUGUCCUCUUCUUCCUCCAUGCCCCCACCACACCCUUCCUUUUUGCUCCCAAGGUGGAAAGUUUGCAACAUGCAGCCUAUGUUCCAAAUUUUUCAAUUAUAAAAUUAUCUGCAGACCAAGAUAAUGACUGGAGUCCAAGAGCAAGACCUUCAGCUAAAAGAAACAAGCUGGUAAAGAUUCAGCCAGGUUCUGGUUCUCACCCUGUAACGGUAGAAUCAAACCACACAGGACAUAUGGAUAAACCACUUGGAACACAUAAGAGAUAGGAAGAUACAAGCUACUACCAGUCACAUUGCAAUUACCUGACAGAACAUAAAUAUACUUACCUGCCCUGAAAGGAAGGCACAAGGGGCACUAUUUUCAAAGAACAAGGGAAUCUAAAAAGCUUUCUUCCUUUCUCAAGUUUAUUGCAUGGAGCAGUAUUUCAUAUACGUUUGGCCUACAGCAAUGGGAACAGCACCAGAUUUAUCUACUUUAAGCAUUUCCAGCAUGCUAUCAUGGUGGGUUUAAGGUACUUUUUAUCUGAAGACUCUUGUGACAGCGGACAUGAGAACCUUUCUUCAUCACCAGAAUAAGCCUUUGUAUUUUACCUUUCAAUUAAUUUUCUAUACCAACAGAAGUCCUAAGCUAGUUACAAAACAUAUCCCUUCUUUCAAACCAUCCUGCAUUGCUACAGUGAGUAACAGGCUUGAUAGCCCAAAUAGCAAAAGAAGAGUAAACUCACAGGCACUCCUCAAAUGAGAGAAUAUUCCUGAUCCAGAACCCAGCCAAUACCUAUAGAAACUUCUCUCCCGCUGCCCCACGUCAGUAGAACAUCAGCUUCAAUGUAAUAUUGGAGAUGCAGUUUCCAAGCAUGCUGUCAGACAAGCUUUGCUGGCACUUGCAAGGGGGAUGAAAAGGACAGUUGGUUGAGGAUGGGCAUCAGAAGCAAAAACGGGUCAGUUCCUGGUAUCACCUUGUGAUUGUCUUAUUGUGAUUCCAGCAGUAUCUGCAGGAGCAAUCAGAGCUGCACCUGACACCUGCAGAAGAGGCAGAAGUAGCUUCAGCUGCUUGUUCUUACCCGGAUGUCCUGUUCCUACCCCUCUAAGUCAGGAUUCCUUGUCAGUCCUGAAUCCCUGCCUGGACUGCCAGUUAUUUGCCACCAGACUGGUUUUUUUUUAUUCAUUAGGAAGGCAAACCCAAUUAAAGUUACUUUAUUGAGGGGCCUUAUACCAACAGUUGCUUUAAAGAAGCAAAUUGUUAAAGCCAAAACUCCUUUUUAUUUUUAAACUCGAAUAUUUUUGUCCUGCUGUAGGAAGAAAAAAUACGUAUCUUUGAAUGAUGGAUAUCUCAGAAAUCUGAUUUUAUUCCCCUUUUCUCCUUUCCUAAUGGUUUUAUGUUUCACAUUCAUAUCCUUCGGGAAAAUGCCUGGGAAACUUUUCUGAUGAUAUGUUGAAGGUCACCUACAGUAAAUGUGAGACAAAGCGAACACAGAUCUCAGGCUUUGCAAAUGUUCAUUAUGUAAAUUACAGGAGCUGUGAAGAUGGAAAUGAGGCAUACAGAUGCUGUUAUGCACAAAAAAGCAGAGGGGAAACUUCAGAUUUCCUUUCUCUACAGAGGCAGUUGGUGUCUACAGGCACUCUCGUCCCUACAGUAUUUCUAGUAUGAAAAGGUCUCAGAUUCUCUGUGGGUGUUAUUUCAGAAAUUACUAGCUCUGUGGUUCUCAGUGAAGGCCAAGGACUGGGACAGAUCUUUAAACUCAUCACACAUCUGGGGAGAAUUGCAGGCCAGAUGCAGCUGCAACCUAGUCGGAGGAAAUGGGGAGGGUGUCUGUGCAGGGCAAUGCCUGUCUAGUAUCUUUAUUCUUGGGAUUAGUCUUUUUGAUUGCUGUUAGUCAAGACUAGUCCUGAGGAGGAAUGUUAUCUGUGUUGUGAAUUGCAGUGCAGAGAUGCACAAGUGGAGGAGAUAAAGAUUCAGCACUUGAUUUCAUGCAUCCUUGGGCAUAUCACUUGGAGGCCAGAUUUUGAAAGAUGACAGAGAUCAAAGGAUGAAGAAUGAUAACAGCUUCAUUUUCAGAUCUAUUCCUGGGCGUGCAUUUCCUGAGCAUUUCAAUAGGAAAUGAGUACCUUUGUGGGUUUUGUGUUGUUGGGGUUUUUUUGGAAUUGGUGAGUUGGUUUUUUGUCUGUUUUUAUCAUGAGAAGCCAACAUAUAUUUAAAUGGCAGACCUUAACUUGCACUUUCAGUUUCAUGCCUGAAAAGAAAGGAGUGUGAAUCUCCAUUUCUUUGUUUUCUCCCAGGUCUUGCUCAGGUUUCAAGUACAAUUCUACUCUAAGCAAUAAAAACCAUUAAGAGAUACUUUAGACCUUAUUUCAAGAAGUAGUGAGUACUCAGUAGGUAACUGGAGCUACUGGUGUUCAGCAGCCUUUUGAAACUCUCCUGCAGUGUUCCAAGUUCAGUUCUUCAAUAAUAAAGGAAUAAAAAACUUGAGACUGCUUUUGGUAUUUUGGACUUAAAAACUCCUUAGGGAAGCUGGGACACAGACAUAUUGAUGAUUGGGUGGAAGGACAAUGCUGAGUCAGGUGCUCUCCCGUCAGGGGACUGGCACUACCCAGGGCAGAUGGAAUGGGAAAGGACUGAAGGACUGAGCCUUCCCCCUCAGCCUCAUUAGAGAUCUGCCCUGAUCUGCAGGGAAGAAAAAAAGAAAGAAAAAUGAA